CCAGCGUAGGUAAAAGUCAGGAAUUAUGGCAGUGAUAACGAUUUUGAGCGCAUGAUAGAUAAAAACAGCUAAAUGGACAAAAUACAGUGAAUGAAGAAAACAUAUUUCUUUACAAUCGUUGCUGAGUUUCAGUAACGAAUUUAUCUUCAUUCGAAACAACUAGAAAACCGGAUACAUUAUGUAAAUGCUACGAAAAUUUCAAGCCAAUGUUCGACCCAUUUUUUGAGAUAUUUUUAUUUUUAUUGGAAGCACCAUUACGCGCUUUGGAACUAUCCAGCCUUAACUUUGUGAGUGUCCAAAAAAUUAGUCCUUAGACUAACUUGGACGAAGUUUUGUGCUUCUGCAGCCGGAUACAUUAUGUACCUAAAUGUUGCGUAAAUUGCAAGUAAUUCAACACAGUUUUUGAGAAAUAUAUUUUUUCAUUAAUCGAUCUA